rnacentral:lncRNA from 1 species
GGCUAUGCUAGGAUGGGUUUGGGUUGGGGCCGGGGCUUUGGGUUGGGGCGGAGCUAUGGGUUGGGUCAGUUUUAAUUGGACAGGGCUAUCGUUGGGGGCGGGGCUAUAGGUGGGGCAGGACUGUGGUUGGGUGGGGCUUGGGAUGGGGGCGGGGCUAUAGAGGGGACAGGGUUACGAUUGGAUGGGCUACGGGUUGGAGGCGGUGGGGUCAGAAUUGGGGUGAUGGGGUCAGGAUUAGGAUUGGGACUAAUGUUGGGAUUAUGGGGUUGGGAUUAUGGGGUCAGAUUUGGAGUUAUGGGGUCGGGGUUAGGGUUCAGAUUGGGAUUAACAUUGGGAUUAUGGGAUUGGGGCUAUGGGGUCAGAAUUGGGGUUAUGGGGUUGGGGUUAGGAUUGGGAUUCAUGUUGGGAUUAUGGGGUUGGGAUUAUGGGUCAGAAUUGGGGUUAUGGGAUUGGGAUUAGGAUUGGGAUUAACAUUGGGAUUAUGAGGUUGGGACUAUGGGGUCAGGUGAUGGGUUCAGGAUUAGGAUUGGGAUUAACGUUGGGAUUAUGGGGUUGGGGUUAUGGGGUCAGAAUUGGAGUGAUGGGGUUAGGGUUCAGAUUGGGAUUAGCAUUGGGAUUAUGGGGUUGGGGUUAUUGGGUCAGAAUUGGGUUUAUGGCGUUGGGGUUAGGAUUGGGAUUGGGAUUAGCUUUAGGACUACGGGGUUGGGGUUAUGGGGUGAGAAUUGGGGUUAUGGGGUCAGGGUUAGGAUUGGGAUUGGGAUUAUGGGGUUGGGGUUAUGGAGUCAGAACUGGAGUUAUGGGGUCAGGGUUGGAUUCAGAUUGGGAUUAACAUUAGGACUGCAGGGUUGGGGCUAUGGGGUCAGAGUUGGAGUUAUGGGGUCAGGGUUCAGAUUGGGAUUGGGAUUAUGGGUUGGGGUUAUGGGGUCAGAAUUGGGGUUAUGGGGUUGGGGUUAGGAUUGGGAUUAACGUUGGGAUUAUGGGAUUGGGGUUAUGGGAUCAGAAUUGGAGUUAUGGGGUUGGGAUUCGGACUGGGAUUAACGUUGGGAUUAUGGGAUUGGGGUUAUGGGGUCAGAAUUGGGGUUAUGGGGUCAGGGUUAGGGUUCAGAUUGGGAUUAACAUUAGGACUGUGGUGUUGGGGUUAUGGGGUCAGAAUUGGAGCUAUGGGGUCAGGGUUAGGAUUGGGUUUGGGAUUAAGGUUGGGAUUAUGGUUUUGGGGCUAUGGGGUCAGAAUUGGCGUUAUGGGGUUGGGGUUAGGAUUGGGAUUGUGAUUAU